UACAGAGGUCUCAAGCGUUAAUCGGAGUCACUGGGCUUAAAGCGCGCGUAGGCGGCUUUGCAAGUCGGGUGUGAAAUCCCCAGGCUUAACCUGGGAACUGCAUUCGAGACUGCAUUGCUAGAGUAUGGGAGGGGAAGUGGAAUUUCCGGUGUAGCGGUGAAAUGCGUAGAUAUCGGAAGGAACAUCAGUGGCGAAAGCGACUUCCUGGACCAAUACUGACGCUCAUGUGCGAAAGCGUGGGGAGCAAACAGG
rnacentral:rRNA from 1 species